rnacentral:miRNA from 15 species
CAGCUAACGUGCAGCUGCUAAC